CCUACGGGAGGCAGCAGUGGGGAAUAUUGGACAAUGGGGGGAACCCUGAUCCAGCCAUGCCGCGUGUGUGAAGAAGGCCCUCGGGGUGUAAAGCACUUUCAGUGAGGAAGAACGCCUGGUGGUUAAUACCCAUCAGGAAAGACAUCACUCACAGAAGAAGCACCGGCUAACUCCGUGCCAGCAGCCGCGGUAAUACGGAGGGUGCGAGCGUUAAUCGGAAUUACUGGGCGUAAAGCGCGCGUAGGUGGCUUGAUAAGCCGGUUGUGAAAGCCCCGGGCUCAACCUGGGAACGGCAUCCGGAACUGUCAAGCUAGAGUGCAGGAGAGGAAGGUAGAAUUCCCGGUGUAGCGGUGAAAUGCGUAGAGAUCGGGAGGAAUACCAGUGGCGAAGGCGGCCUUCUGGACUGACACUGACACUGAGGUGCGAAAGCGUGGGUAGCAAACAGGAUUAGAUACCCGGGUAGUC
rnacentral:rRNA from 1 species